rnacentral:rRNA from 1 species
GACGAACGCUGGCGGCGUGCCUAAUACAUGCAAGUCGAACGCACAGUUUAUACCGUAGCUUGCUACACCAUAAACUGUGAGUUGCGAACGGGUGAGUAACGCGUAGGUAACCUGCCUGGUAGCGGGGGAUAACUAUUGGAAACGAUAGCUAAUACCGCAUAAUAUUGAUUAUUGCAUGAUAAUUGAUUGAAAGAUGCUAUUGCAUCACUACCAGAUGGACCUGCGUUGUAUUAGCUAGUAGGUGAGGUAACGGCUCACCUAGGCGACGAUACAUAGCCGACCUGAGAGGGUGAUCGGCCACACUGGGACUGAGACACGGCCCAGACGCCUACGGGAGGCAGCCGUAGGGCAUCUUCGGCAAUGGACGGAAGUCUGACCGAGCAACGCCGCGUGAGUGAAGAAGGUUGUCGGAUCGUAAAGCUCUGUUGUAAGAGAAGAACGGGUGUGAGAGUGGAAAGUUCACACUGUGACGGUAUCUUACCAGAAAGGGACGGCUAACUACGUG